UACAGAGGUCCCGAGCGUUGUUCGGAUUUAUUGGGCGUAAAGGGUGCGUAGGUGGCAAAGUAAGUUGGAUGUGAAAUCCUGGGGCUCAACCUCAGAAUUGCAUUCAAUACUGCUUAGCUAGAGAGCUGUAGAGGAGACUGGAAUUUACGGUGUAGGCAGUGAAAUGCGUAGAUAUCAGGAGGAACACCGGUGGUGUAGACGGCUUUCUGGACCGUAACUGACGCUGAGACACGAAAGCGUGGGUAGCAAACAGG
rnacentral:rRNA from 1 species